rnacentral:rRNA from 1 species
GAUGAACGCUGGCGGCGUGCCUAACACAUGCCAGUCGAGCGGCAGCGAGGGGUGCUUGCACCCUGUCGGCGAGCGGCGGACGGCUGAGUAACGCGUGGGAACGUGCCCCAAAGUGAGGAAUAACUGCCCGAAAGGGUAGCUAAUACCGCAUAUUAUCUUCGGAUCAAAGGAUUUAUCCGCUUUGGGAGCGGCUCGCGUCGGAUUAGGUAGUUGGUGAGGUAAUUGCUCACCAAGCCGACGAUCCGUAGCUGGUCUGAGAGGAUGACCAGCCAGACUGGAACUGAGACACGGUCCAGACUCCUACGGGAGGCAGCAGUGAGGAAUCUUCCACAAUGGGCGAAAGCCUGAUGGAGCAACGCCGCGUGCAGGACGAAGGCCUUCGGGUUGUAAACUGCUUUUAUAAGUGAGGAAUAUGACGGUAACUUAUGAAUAAGGAUCGGCUAACUACGUG